AUUCUUGUUCGGUCGAAGGCAUGUCGUUCGUUCGUUCGUUCGUUAGAUUGGCGAAUUUAAUGAAACCCCGUUUAAGUAAUUAAGGAAGCGAAUUCAAUAUGGGAGGAUCUCGAUCUCAUGGGGAAGUGGGGUUUCUCUUGGGGAAAAGCACAAAAUGAUGCAUGCAAUUGACCCGACCUCUUGGGGAAAUCCUCAGUCAAACACGUUCAUCCCGUCUUCUUUUUCUGACAAUGCAUUGCCAUUUGUCAAAUCUAAUCAUGAAAAACAAGGAGGAAGAGGAGGAGGAGGAGGAGGAGAUGGAAAGAAUG